rnacentral:lncRNA from 1 species
CACCCCCCAAGGCUAUAGCCCACCCAUUUUUGUGGCAUUUCUGCGCUGGACGAAUUUGGCGCCCCGGCCUUCGGACGGUUAUUUUUUGGCGCGGCUUUGCCCGCGGCCUAUGUUUGGCACACGGAGUCCCCUCGCGAAGUCUCGCGGCAUUCCGUGUCCGGCGGGUGAAGUUGGCCAGCCCCACCCCCCAAGGCUAUAGCCCACCCGUUUUUGUGGCCUUUUUCCGCUGAAUGAACUUGGCGCCCCAGCCUUCGGGCGGUUAUUUUUCGGCGCGGCUUUGCCCGUGGCCUAUUUUUUGCACGCGAACGCCCCUGGCAAAGUCUCGUGGCAUUCCGAGUCCGGCGGACGAAGUUGGCCAGCCCCACCCCCCAAGGCUAUAGCCCACCCGUUUUUGUGGCAUUUUUGCGCUGGAUGAACUUGGCGCCCCGGCCUUCGGGCGGUUAUUUUUGGGCGCGGCUUUGCCCGCGGCCUAUUUUUGGCACACGAAGGCCCCUCGCAAAGUCUCGCGGCAUUCCGAGUCCGGCGGACGAAGUGGGCCAGCCCCACCCCCCAAGGCUAUAGCCCACCCGUUUUUGUGGCAUUUUUGCGCUGGACGAACUUGGCGCCCCCGCCUUCGGGCGGUUAUUUUUGGGCGCGGCUUUGGCUGCGGCCAAUUUUUGGCACACGGAGGCCCCUCGCAAAGUCUCGCGGCAUUCCGAGUCCGGCGGACGAAGUGGGCCAGCCCCACCCCCCAAGGCUAUAGCCCACCCAUUUUUGUGGCAUUUCUGCGCUGGACGAAUUUGGCGCCCCGGCCUUCGGACGGUUAUUUUUUGGCGCGGCUUUGCCCGCGGCCUAUGUUUGGCACACGGAGUCCCCUCGCGAAGUCUCGCGGCAUUCCGUGUCCGGCGGGUGAAGUUGGCCAGCCCCACCCCCCAAGGCUAUAGCCCACCCGUUUUUGUGGCCUUUUUCCGCUGAAUGAACUUGGCGCCCCAGCCUUCGGGCGGUAAUUUUUCGGCGCGGCUUUGCCCGUGGCCUAUUUUUGCACGCGACUUAAUUGCAGUGGUUGGGUGNNNNNNNNNNNNNNNNNNNNNNNNNNNNNNNNNNNNNNNNNNNNNNNNNNNNNNNNNNNNNNNNNNNNNNNNNNNNNNNNNNNNNNNNNNNNNNNNNNNNCCAGCCCCACCCCCCAAGGCUAUAGCCCACCCGUUUUUGUGGCAUUUUUGCGCUGGAUGAACUUGGCGCCCCGGCCUUCGGGCGGUUAUUUUUGGGCGCGGCUUUGCCCGCGGCCUAUUUUUGGCACACGAAGGCCCCUCGCAAAGUCUCGCGGCAUUGCGAGUCCGGCGGACGAAGUCGGCCCCCCCACCCCCCAAGGCUAUAGCCCACCCGUUUUUGUGGCCUUUUUCCGCUGAACGAACUUGGCGCCCCGGCCUUCGGGCGGUUAUUUUUGGGCGCGGCUUUUCCCGGGGCCUAUUUUGGCACACGGAGGCCCCUAGCAAAGUCUCGCGGCAUUCCGAGCCCGGCGGAAGAAGUUGGCCAGCCCCACCCCCCAAGGCUAUAGCCCACCCGUUUUUGUGGCCUUUUUCCGCUGGACGAACUUGGCGCCCCGGCCGUCGGGAGGUUAUUUUUGGGCGCGGCUUUGUCCGCGGCCUAUGUUUGGCACACGGAGGCCCCUCGCAAAGUCUCGCGGCAUUCCGAGUCCGGCGGACGAAGUGGGCCAGCCCCACCCGCCAAGGCUAUAGCCCACCCGUUUUUGUGGCCUUUUUCCGCUGGACGAACUUGGCGCCCCGGCCUUCGGACGAAUAAUUUUGGGUACGGCUUUGCCGGCGGCCUAUUUUUGGCACACGGAGGCCCUUCGCAAAGUCUUGCGGCAUUCCGAGUCCGGCGGACGAAGUGGGCCAGCCCCACCCCCCCAGGCUAUAGCCCACCCGUUUUUGUGGCCUUUUUGCGCUGGACGAACUUGACUCCCCGGCUUUCGGGCGGUUUUUUUUGGGCGCGGGUUUGGGCGCGGCCUAUGUUUGGCUCACGGAGGCCCCUCGCAAAAGUCUCACGGCAUUCCGAGUCCAGCGAACGAAGUGGGCCAGCCCCACCCCCCAAGGAUAUAGCCCACCCGUUUUUGUGGCCUUGUUGCGCUGGACAAAUUUGACGCCCUGGCCUUCGGACGGUUAUUUUUGGGCGCGGCUUUUGCCGCGGCCUAUGUUUGGCACAUGGAGGCCAGUCGCAAAGUCUCACGGCAUUCCGAGUCCGGCGGACGAAGUGGGCCAGCCCCAGCACCCAAGGCUAUAGCCCACCCGUUUUUGUGGCCUUUUUGCGCUGGACGAACUUGGCGCCCCGGCGUUCGGGCGGUUAUUUUUGGGUGCGGCUUUGCCCGCGGCAUAUGUUUGGCACACGGAGGCCCCUCACAAAGUCUCGCGGCAUUCCGAGUCCGGCGGACGAAGUUGGCCAGCCCCACCCCCCAAGGCCAUAGCCCACCCAUUUUUGUGGCAUUUUUGCGCUGGAUGAACUUGGCGCCCCGGCCUUCGGGCGGUUAUUUUUGGGCGCGGCUUUGCCCGCGGCCUAUUUUUGGCACACGAAGGCCCCUCGCAAAGUCUCGCGGCAUUCCGAGUCCAGCGGACGAAGUGGGCCAGCCCCACCCCCCAAGGCUAUACCCACCCGUUUUUGUGGCAUUUUUGCGCUGGACGAACUUGGCGCCCCCGCCUUCGGGCGGUUAUUUUUGGGCGCGGCUUUGCCCGCGGCCUUUGUUUGGCACACGGAGGCCCCUCGCAAAGUCUCGCGGCAUUCCGAGUCCGGCGGACGAAGUAGGCCAGCCCCACCCCCCAAGGCUAUAGCCCACCCGUUUUUGUGGCAUUUUUGCGCUGGACGAACUUGGCGCCCCGGUCUUCGGGCAGUUAUUUUUGGGCGCGGCUUUGUCCACGGCCUAGUUUUGGCACACGGAGGCCCCUCGCAAAGUCUCACGGCAUUCCGAGUCCGGCGGACGAAAUUGGCCAGCCCCAACCCCCAAGGCAAUAGCCCACCCGUUUUUGCGGCCUUUUUCCGCUGGACGAACUUGGCGCCCCGGCCUUCGGGCGGUUAUUUUUGGGUGCGGCUUUGCCCGCGGCCUAUUUUUGGCACACGAAGGCCCCUCGCAAAGACUCGCGGCAUUCCGAGUCCGGCGGACGAAGUUGGCCAGCCCCACCCUCCAAGCCUAUAGCCCACCCGUUUUUGUGGCCUUUUUCCGCUGGACGAACUUGGCGCCCCGGCCUUUGGGCGGUUAUUUUUGUGGGCGGCUUUGCUCGCGUCCUAUGUUUGGCACACGGAGGCCCCUCGCAAAGUCUCGCGGCAUUCCGAGUCCGGCGGACGAAGUGGGCCAGCCCCACCCCCCAAGGCUAUAGCCCACCCGUUUUUGUGGCCUUUUUCCGCUGGACGAACUUGGCUCCCCGGCCUUCGGGCGGUUAAUUUUGGGUACGGCUUUGCCCGCGGCCUAUUUUUGGCACACGGAGGCCCUUCGCAAAGUCUUGCGGCAUUCCGAGUCCGGCGGACGAAGUGGGCCAGCCCCACCCCCCAAGGCUAUAGCCCACCC